UAUUUGCCAUGAUGACUCCUAUUAGGACGGUAUCUGAAGGGGGUGACUUUUGAGCGCAUCCCUUCUGAUUAUACCAAACUCAAUGUGGUUUCUGAGCAAAUC
rnacentral:snoRNA from 2 species